GUGCCCGGGGUAACAGGGAGGGCAGUGGGAGGGGCAUGAGCAUACAGGGCUGAGUAGUGGGGCUAAAAGGCAACGGGAGCUGUGGAGAAGGGGGCAGCGCUAACAACACCGCGCCCAGGAGCAGGCAGGAGGGAGCAGCACGUGGCUUGCAGGGGCAGGCUGCAAAGGGAAAGAAGGGACCGGAAGCAGCCGCCAUGUAUAACCCACAGAGAGGACAUGUUCCAGCAUGAAAUGCCACAAAAACUUGGAUCAAGAUGGAGCAAGUGCAGACAACAAGGCCCACCAGGUGAUAUUCUGUCUUGGACACAAUGCUGAGUUAUCAAUUUGGUCCAUCAUAUGGGGGACAAGUCUCACAGGGGAUCCCCCAGGCCUUCCCCAAAGAGCAGCAGCAUGAGGAGCGACUGACUCCAACGCCGAUUUCAGUGUUGCAGGAUAAGCUCCCAUCCCCUCGGGGACCAUACUUCAGAUUACCCUUCACAUGAACUGCCUUGCAAAACACAAGAUUCUUCUCUGUCAAAGACAUUAUUUCCAUUGCUUCUGAGAAGAGCUUUGAAUUCUGGUUUAUCCCUGUUUUUUGUUCAUACACAUCAAUGAAGGUGCCAUUGAAGAGAACCGGAAAGCGGUAUCCUUUGAGGAAAUUUGUGGACAUUUUCAGCACAAACUGUGCAUUCAAGAAGGAUGAUGCUUUCCUUUUCUUGGUGCAGUUGCAUAGGAAAUUGAGUUCUUACUUCUGACUUUUGGUUUGGGUACAAACUCCCUGGAGUGAGCAGUCCGGACUUUUGAGGGAGGUCAGGGAGAGAUUCAUUCCCGCCUUUGAGAGCUAGAGCCCUUGUACCAGAAAAGUGAGGAUCUGUGCAAUUCCCUGUCUGCUGAUGCCUGAGACAGAGCUUCAAAGAAGUAGCAGACUGCAGUCAGAGUUGCUUCUUCUCUUCUCUACACACACAGACAUGCUGCAGGCUGGGGGAGAGGCAGUGAGUCUGACAGAAAAUACUGUGAAAGGGUCUUUGUGCAGGAGAAAAGGC